CCCUUAGAUGUUCUGGGCCGCACGCGCGCUACACUGACUGACUCAACGAGUUUACAACCUGUGCCGAAAGGUAUGGGUAAUCUUUUGAAAUUCAGUCGUGAUGGGGCUAGAUUAUUGCAACUAUUAAUCUUCAACGAGGAAUGCCUAGUAAGCGCGAAUCAUCAGUUCGCGUUGAUUACGUCCCUGCCCUUUGUACACACCGCCCGUCGCUCCUACCGAUUGAAUGGUCCGGUGAAUAAUUCGGACUGCAGCAGUGUUCAGUUCCUGAACGUUGCAGCGGAAAGUUUAGUGAACCUUAUCACUUAGAGGAAGGAGAAGUCGUAACA
rnacentral:rRNA from 1 species